GUGGGCAAAAUAAGGUUUUAGGUCAGCGAUAUUAGCUUUAUAUUUUAUUUUAUUUUUAAGCAAAUAUAUCUAAUAUCUUUUAAGACUGUAUAUAAACAUUUGUUUUUAUGGUUAGCCCAGUUUCUCGUCGAUCAAGAAGUCACCUUAGAAAAAGCUUCAUUGCGAAUACCAGGCCGAAAUUUAGACAACAAACAAGAGUAGACUCGUCCUGGGUUAUAGAGCCGGGAAAAAAGCGAGUGGAAGCUGAAGGGAAACUGGUUGAUGCAGCUUUAAGUUUAGCAGAGGCUGCCCAUACGCAUGCGAACGCUGCACAACUUCAAGCUAGAAUAAAUGCAUCUCAGCAUAAAAUGUUAGAUAAAUUAAUCAACAGCAUUGUUAAAAAUAAAUAAAUUAAUAUUGUUUUA